GGAUGUGAGUGCGAUCUGGCUGUGACAUGUCACCCCACUGGUCACCAGGGUUGAUUCAAGCUGGCUGGCUAGACAGGUGUCCCCUUUGUCCCUCACCGCUCCAUGUGUCCCUCACGAAUAGAGAGGGACUGUUGGUCAAGAAUAUAGGAGCUGCUGCGCUCCCUGCUGGAACCUCCAAACAAGCUCUCAAAUAUCACUUCAAAAGAGGGGGCUGGAGAGAUGGCUUAGCGGUUAAGCACUUUCCUGUGGAGCCUAAGGACCCCGGUUCAAGGCUCGAUUCCCCAG
rnacentral:snRNA from 1 species